CAAGGUGAGGUAGUAGGUUGUAUAGUUUGUGGGAUGGCUUGGAUCCUACUCAGAUUAUAACUAUACAGUCUAUUACCUUCCUUGAGAGGUACAAUG
rnacentral:pre_miRNA from 1 species